rnacentral:rRNA from 1 species
AGAGUUUGAUCCUGGCUCAGAACGAACGCUGGCGGCGUGCCUAACACAUGCAAGUCGAGCGCGAAAGUCCCUUCGGGGGCAAGUAGAGCGGCGGACGGGUGAGUAAUACGUGGAUAAUCUUCCCUCGAGCUUGGGAUAACCCUGCGAAAGCGGGGCUAAUACCGGAUAAGACCACAUGUCAUAUGCCAUGUGGUAGAAGGUGGCUUGUAUUUAUAUGAGCUAUCACUUGAGGAUGAGUCCAUGGCCUAUCAGCUUGUUGGUGAGGUAAGAGCUCACCAAGGCUAUGACGGGUAGCUGGUCUGAGAGGACGACCAGCCACACUGGGACUGAGAUACGGCCCAGACUCCUACGGGAGGCAGCAGUGGGGAAUAUUGGGCAAUGGGCGCAAGCCUGACCCAGCGACGCCGCGUGGGUGAUGAAGGCCUUCGGGUUGUAAAACCCUUUCGUGCGGAAAGAACAGUCUCGUAGCGAAUACCUACGGGAUUUGACGGUACCGCAGGAAGAAGCACCGGCUAACUCCGUGCCAGCAGCCGCGGUAAUACGGAGGGUGCAAGCGUUGUUCGGAAUUAUUGGGCGUAAAGGGCGCGUAGGCGGUAGUGAAAGUCAGAUGUGAAAUCCUCCGGCUCAACUGGAGAACUGCAUCUGAAACUUCACAACUCGAGUACAGGAGAGGGAAACGGAAUUCCCGGUGUAGAGGUGAAAUUCGUAGAUAUCGGGAGGAACACCAGUGGCGAAGGCGGUUUCCUGGCCUGAUACUGACGCUGAGGCGCGAAAGCGUGGGGAGCAAACAGGAUUAGAUACCCUGGUAGUC